rnacentral:rRNA from 1 species
AGUGAACGCUGGCGGUAGGCCUAACACAUGCAAGUCGAACGGCAGCACAGUAAGAGCUUGCUCUUACGGGUGGCGAGUGGCGGACGGGUGAGGAAUACAUCGGAAUCUACUUUUUCGUGGGGGAUAACGUAGGGAAACUUACGCUAAUACCGCAUACGACCUACGGGUGAAAGCAGGGGAUCUUCGGACCUUGCGCGAUUGAAUGAGCCGAUGUCGGAUUAGCUAGUUGGCGGGGUAAAGGCCCACCAAGGCGACGAUCCGUAGCUGGUCUGAGAGGAUGAUCCGGCACACUGGAACCGAGACACGGUCCAGACUCCUAAGGGAGGCCGCAGUGGGGAAUAUUGGACAAUGGGCGCAAGGCUGAUCCAGCCAUACCGGGUGGGUGAAGAAGGCCUUCGGGUUGUAAAGCCCUUUUGUUGGGAAAGAAAAGCAGCAGGUUAAUACCCCGCUGUUCUGACGGUACCCUAAGAAUAAGCACCGGCUAACUUCGUG